UCCUGAAUAGCUCGGUCGGUUAGAGCGCUGUGCUGAUAACGGCAAGGUUGCAGGUUUGAUCCCUGUAUGGGGCA